UGCCCCAUGGCUGAGUUGGUUACAGCGUCCGACUGUUAUCGGAGUUCAGUGAAAUGUGCGUGUUAACAAUCGGAAGGUCGUGAGUUCGAGCCUCACUGGGGCAG
rfam:Moniliophthora roreri MCA 2997 sctg_0051_0005, whole genome shotgun sequence.